GGCGUUAAGUUGCAGGGUAUAGACCCGAAACCCGGUGAUCUAGCCAUGGGCAGGUUGAAGGUUGGGUAACACUAACUGGAGGACCGAACCGACUAAUGUUGAAAAAUUAGCGGAUGACCUGUGGCUGGGGGUGAAAGGCCAAUCAAACCGGGAGAUAGCUGGUUCUCCCCGAAAGCUAUUUAGGUAGCGCCUCGUGAAUUCAUCUCCGGGGGUAGAGCACUGUUUCGGCUAGGGGGCCAUCCCGGCUUACCAACCCGAUGCAAACUGCGAAUACCGGAGAAUGUUAUCACGGGAGACACACGGCGGGUGCUAACGUCCGUCGUGAAGAGGGAAACAACCCAGACCGCCAGCUAAGGUCCCAAAGUCAUGGUUAAGUGGGAAACGAUGUGGGAAGGCCCAGACAGCCAGGAUGUUGGCUUAGAAGCAGCCAUCAUUUAAAGAAAGCGUAAUAGCUCACUGGUCGAGUCGGCCUGCGCGGAAGAUGUAACGGGGCUAAACCAUGCACCGAAGCUGCGGCAGCGACGCUGAUGCGUUGUUGGGUAGGGGAGCGUUCUGUAAGCCUGUGAAGGUGUGUCGUGAGGCAUGCUGGAGGUAUCAGAAGUGCGAAUGCUGACAUAAGUAACGAUAAAGCGGGUGAAAAGCCCGCUCGCCGGAAGACCAAGGGUUCCUGUCCAACGUUAAUCGGGGCAGGGUGAGUCGACCCCUAAGGCGAGGCCGAAAGGCGUAGUCGAUGGGAAACGGGUUAAUAUUCCCGUACUUGGUGUUACUGCGAAGGGGGGACGGAGAAGGCUAUGUUGGCCGGGCGACGGUUGUCCCGGUUUAAGCGUGUAGGUGUGUGUUCCAGGUAAAUCCGGUUCACUUUAACACUGAGGCGUGAUGACGAGGCACUACGGUGCUGAAGCAACAAAUGCCCUGCUUCCAGGAAAAGCCUCUAAGCAUCAGGUAACAUCAAAUCGUACCCCAAACCGACACAGGUGGUCAGGUAGAGAAUACCAAGGCGCUUGAGAGAACUCGGGUGAAGGAACUAGGCAAAAUGGUGCCGUAACUUCGGGAGAAGGCACGCUGACACGUAGGUGAAGUGAUUUACUCACGGAGCUGAAGUCAGUCGAAGAUACCAGCUGGCUGCAACUGUUUAUUAAAAACACAGCACUGUGCAAACACGAAAGUGGACGUAUACGGUGUGACGCCUGCCCGGUGCCGGAAGGUUAAUUGAUGGGGUCAGCGCAAGCGAAGCUCCUGAUCGAAGCCCCGGUAAACGGCGGCCGUAACUAUAACGGUCCUAAGGUAGCGAAAUUCCUUGUCGGGUAAGUUCCGACCUGCACGAAUGGCGUAAUGAUGGCCAGGCUGUCUCCACCCGAGACUCAGUGAAAUUGAACUCGCUGUGAAGAUGCAGUGUACCCGCGGCAAGACGGAAAGACCCCGUGAACCUUUACUAUAGCUUGACACUGAACAUUGAGCCUUGAUGUGUAGGAUAGGUGGGAGGCUUUGAAGUGUGGACGCCAGUCUGCAUGGAGCCGACCUUGAAAUACCACCCUUUAAUGUUUGAUGUUCUAACGUGGACCCGUAAUCCGGGUUGCGGACAGUGUCUGGUGGGUAGUUUGACUGGGGCGGUCUCCUCCUAAAGAGUAACGGAGGAGCACGAAGGUUGGCUAAUCCUGGUCGGACAUCAGGAGGUUAGUGCAAUGGCAUAAGCCAGCUUGACUGCGAGCGUGACGGCGCGAGCAGGUGCGAAAGCAGGUCAUAGUGAUCCGGUGGUUCUGAAUGGAAGGGCCAUCGCUCAACGGAUAAAAGGUACUCCGGGGAUAACAGGCUGAUACCGCCCAAGAGUUCAUAUCGACGGCGGUGUUUGGCACCUCGAUGUCGGCUCAUCACAUCCUGGGGCUGAAGUAGGUCCCAAGGGUAUGGCUGUUCGCCAUUUAAAGUGGUACGCGAGCUGGGUUUAGAACGUCGUGAGACAGUUCGGUCCCUAUCUGCCGUGGGCGCUGGAGAACUGAGGGGGGCUGCUCCUAGUACGAGAGGACCGGAGUGGACGCAUCACUGGUGUU
rnacentral:rRNA from 1 species